AUUGAACGCUGGCGGCAGGCCUAACACAUGCAAGUCGAGCGAGCGGCGGACGGGUGAGUAAUGUAUGGGGACUGCCCGAUAGAGGGGGAUAACUACUGGAACCGGUAGCUAAUACCGCAUACUAUCGGAUAACCCAUAUGGGAUUAGCUAUUAGGUGAGUUAAUGGCUCACCUAGGCGACGAUCUCUAGCUGGUCGGAGAGGAGGCUCAGCCAAACGGGGACGGAGACACGGCCCAGACUCCUACGGAGGAAGCAGUGGGGAAUAUUGCACAAUGGGCGCAAGCCUGAUGCAGCCAUGCCGCGUGUAGGAAGAAGGCCCUAGGGUUGUAAAGUACUUUCAGUCGGGAGGCGUUACCGACAGAAGAAGCACCGGCUAACUCCGUGCCAGCAGCCGCGGUAAUUC
rnacentral:rRNA from 1 species